UGGCUCUGAUGCUAUUGCACCACAUGUGUUUUUUAUUGAACAAAUUUCUUUGGUGGCGGGAGCAAUCCUACCGCCAGAGGUUAUAACUAAACCAAACUUUUUAUUUACAGUCAAACUUGAUUUAUUAUUACAAUAGUCAAAACUUUCAACAACGGAUCUCUUGGUUCUCGCAUCGAUGAAGAACGCAGCGAAAUGCGAUACGUAAUAUGAAUUGCAGAUAUUCGUGAAUCAUCGAAUCUUUGAACGCACAUUGCGCCCUUUGGUAUUCCAAAGGGCAUGCCUGUUUGAGCGUCAUUUCUCCCUCAAACCCCCGGGUUUGGUGUUGAGCAAUACGCUAGGUUUGUUUGAAAGAAUUUAACGUGGAAACUUAUUUUAAGCGACUUAGGUUUAUCCAAAAACCCUUAUUUUGCUAGGGGCCACCACAAUUUAUUUCAUAACUUUGACCUCAAAUCAGGUAGAACUACCCGCUAAACUUAACCAUAUCAUAAGGGGGGGAGGAA
rnacentral:rRNA from 1 species